GAGAGGAAGGAAAGCUUGCUUUCCUAAAUCUAGUGGCGAACGGGUGAGUAACACGUAGGUAACCUGCCCAUGUGCCCGGGAUAACUUCUGGAAACGGAUGCUAAAACCGGAUAGGUAGCAGACAAGCAUUUGACUGCUAUUAAAGUGGCUAAGGCCAUGAACAUGGAUGGACCUGCGGUGCAUUAGCUAGUUGGUGAGGUAACGGCCCACCAAGGCGACGAUGCAUAGCCGGCCUGAGAGGGCGGACGGCCACAUUGGGACUGAGACACGGCCCAAACUCCUACGGGAGGCAGCAGUAGGGAAUUUUCGUCAAUGGGGGGAACCCUGAACGAGCAAUGCCGCGUGAGUGAGGAAGGUCUUCGGAUCGUAAAGCUCUGUUGUAAGAGAAAAACGACACUCAUAGGGAAUGAUGAGUGAGUGAUGGUAUCUUACCAGAAAGUCACGGCUAACUACGUGCCAGCAGCCGCGGUAAUACGUAGGUGGCGAGCGUUAUCCGGAAUGAUUGGGCGUAAAGGGUGCGUAGGUGGCAGAUCAAGUCUGGAGUAAAAGGUAUGGGCUCAACCCGUACUUGCUCUGGAAACUGAUCAGCUAGAGAACAGAAGAGGACGGCGGAACUCCAUGUGUAGCGGUAAAAUGCCGUAGAUAUAUGGAAGAACACCGGUGGCGAAGGCGGCCGUCCGGUCUGGAUUCUGACACUGAAGCACGAAAGCGUGGGGAGCAAAUAGGAUUAGAUACCCUAGUAGUCCACGCCGUAAACGAUGAGAACUAGGUGUUGGG
rnacentral:rRNA from 1 species